rnacentral:rRNA from 1 species
CAGCCGCCACGGUAAUACGAAGGGGGCUAGCGUUGUUCGGAAUUACUGGGCGUAAAGGGCGCGUAGGCGGCCAUUCAAGUUAGAUGUGAAAGCCCUGGGCUCAACCUAGGAAUUGCAUUUGAUACUGUUUGGCUUGAGUUCGGGAGAGGUGAGUGGAAUUCCCAGUGUAGAGGUGAAAUUCGUAGAUAUUGGGAAGAACACCAGUGGCGAAGGCGGCCCACUGGACCGACACUGACGCUGAGGCGCGAAAGCGUGGGGAGCAAACAGGAUUAGAUACCCAGUAGUCCCUGUCUCUUAUACA